UGUUAGAGAUCGCUGGCGUUGGAUAACCUCUUCAUAAUACAUAAUACAAACAAAAAGUGUCUUUAUCAAAAUAGAUUACUUGACUUUACCGAACCCGGAUUUGAAACUACUAACAUCUUAAUUUAAACUAUCUUUCAAUUUUGCACAGUUCGUGUACUUAUAUACAAAUGUAUAUCAAUAUUGAAAAAAAAUGAAAAUAAAAAAUCUUUAAAUGUAUAAAUUCAUUUGGACAAGCAGAUUACAUGUAUUAAAUCUAAUGAAAGUGCCUUGGAAAUAUUUUCAACAGUAAUUCUGCAUUUGUUUAUCUUACAUACUAGUGUGUAUAUAUAACUAUAUGAACACGUUGUUGGGAGGACCCUUAAAUUCAAUAACAAACAGCUUUAUAUAGGAAACAAAAUAACAUAAAAUAAGUUCUAGAAAGAAAAAAAAAAGAAAAAAACAAGGAAUAAUUUAUUACAUUACAAAACCCAGUGAAACUGACGAAGACUUCCUGUGCGUAUUAUCUCAUAGAAAAUUGUCGGACCAUUAAGACACAAUUCUUAAGGUUUUAAGUUAGGAUUGCUUGUUUUUGUGUCGAUUAUGAGUUAGGAUUGUCGAUUUUAAGUUAGGAUUGUUUGUUUGUUUGUUUUUGUUUGUUUUUUUCGUCGAUUUGUGUUAGGACUGUAUAAAAGGACAACAAACUACGCCAUGUUAAGGGGUUAUAACGGAACGAUUUUGGAUCUUAUGUUACCGAUGUAAUCUUUUGUUUCCUUAAUCCUACAACGCAAAUAAUUGGGUACUCUUUGCUUUUCAUUAUCUAUCAAUGCAAAUAUUUUCAAACUCUUUGGUUUUUCUUAAUCUGCCAAUGCAAAUAGCAUGUAUUUAUAAUCAGCAUAAUAGAACUAGCUGGAACCUCUAUUUAUAAAUCCUACCUCGAUGAAUUAUCUGCAACAGUUGAAAAAUUAGACGUAAUGACAAUUCAUCAAUUCUGUACAUUUGAUACGUCAUAAGGGAAGUUCGUCACAUACCUACAAUGAAUAGUUGAUAACCCGACAGAAAUAGGUUUAUUCUUGUAAUGUAAAUAAAACAGUGUUACUCAGGUCGGCCUGGGGGUCUCAACCUUAUCUUAGUCAAAUGUAUAAAUACAGAGGCUGUCAAGUGUACCAUCAAAUUCAAUUUUCUGCUCAUCUCCUCAUCAACACUCGUCGGUCAUACUGCGGGCGGUAUAGAACCUAAGAUAAAGAUGAUUUACCACCACACUGCCAUCAUCGCCAUCGUUUCAAUAUGUACCUACGUCAGUGCUAUUCCAGUGAGUACACAAUCACAUAAAGAAUCGCCCAUCGAUGUGCUCCCUUCGUUUGACAUAACGGGGACACAACCAAAAUUUUUUGUCAUGCCAGACUCCAUGAGCAGACGACAGGUUGGUGCAACGAGUGAGAACCGUGACAACAAGGGCAGACAACUGCGGGGUGUUGAGGUUCACUGUCAGUCGGAGGAGUGCGCGGAACUGAUCAAGUACAUCAAUGCCAGGGACCCACACACGGUGAUCAUGUUUCCUGGCAGAUGGGGAAAAUAGACAACUGAAAUGUUCUUCUCCUGUCAAGUGUUACAAAGUUUUCUCUGCAUAAUAUCUGAAUAAAUGUUUUACUGAGAAGUAUUUUUUUCCUGUGUUCUGAAUAUCAUCAUAUCAUCAUAUCAGACUAAUGGGUUAUAUUCCAUUGUGAGCUUGUAUUCUCCGGAACGGAUCGUUUAAUGUAACUGGAUUUUGAAGAACUGGGUAAGUUUAUGAAUAUGAUCAAUUCUUGGAUGGUGAUAUCUCUGCCGAAUGGUACACUUUUCUCAAGCCGACCAAUUCCGGGACAACUAUAUAUCACUCCAUUGCCCUAUAUGCUAUUUUUCAAACCUGUCUCGAUCCGAUUAUGAUAGAGCUUAUCAGGAUGUCGAGCAACAAGUGUCUUGUAAUAUCAUUUAGUUUCACUUUAUCUUAAUCUUCACUUGUAACGUGCUUCAUAUUUUCCCAUCCUGAAUUUUUCUUUUCUUGAUAGUAACAUCACUGCUUUCCUUAUGCAUUUCAUGUAACAUCAUGUCAGUUGUUGAUGUAAGAUGGAAAAUCCAGAUCCAAGUUGAAAAUUUAACAAAAACACAACACAACAAUUGGCUUAGACAUAAAAUUUCUUCAUUUCCAUUAAGGGUAGUUAUACAUAACAACCUAAUAUACAAAUUGUAUGCUUUUAAGUGUCAAUACAAUUAUCAUUAUAAGGGUAAUGUCAAAAAAUAUGACUUUCAAUUCCACUUAUCAAUAUCUACAUAAAAUGCAAGAGCUUAUAUCAGUGUUAAGUACAUUCAUUAAAAGUCAAAGACAAUAUUUAAAAUUGUGUGGUACCACUCUGGUGAUGUUUCUUAACCAACAGGGACCAGACACAAUACUCAACAGUUAUUGAAAUAGUCCCCCCCCCCCCCCCCCCCCCCCCCUAUGUGAAUUUGUCUAUUUGUCUCAAUUUUAAAAUUUUAAGGAAAUAUGCAUAUUUUAGACAUAAAUACACCGGCCAAAGAUAAUAAACUGCACACAAAUAAUAAUCUAUGUAUGUAAAAGGCAUAUUUAGAAGUAUAUAGUGUGUACAUGAAAACUAAAGCAAUGAUUUUUUUUGUAUACAGAACCCGUAUCACAGCUAGUUAACUGCCGAAGUCGGAAGCAGUAGUCAAAAUGUUAAAACAAUAACAUUUUCAUACCCGUUUGAUUUUAAAAUUACAUUCCGUAAAAUAUGUCAUAAAAACUCCUGAGUAUUGGGUAAAAUAUAAUAUUUAAAAUAAAACGAGAACAAAUGAAAUUUACAGAUACACUGAUAACUACUGUAUUCCUAACCCAGUUACAGAAUCUGACACAAUAAUGGAUUGUCUCCCCUUACACCAUUAGACUGUCCAUUCUCUGAUGUAAAAUUGUCUCUAUAUAUUUCUCUCAUUAAACAAAUCACCGAGACUGUUCUUCUCAACUUUGAAUGAAUUCAACAAAAUUGUUAUAAUUUCUAUGUAAAUAUUUCACUCUUUAAUUACAAAUCCCUGUGACUGUACAAGUCUGGAUGUAUGAUACAGAAUAAUAAUAUUUUCUGAUUUAUCACACGACUCCCUGAGACUAUGUAAAAGUUUGACUAUAGGAUUUUUAUACACUCAUAAAAUGACACAAUUAUUAACAAAUUGGUACAUUACUUUUUACAUGUUUAAUUCCCUGAGAUAAACUUGUAAAGACUGAACAUAACAAUUGAUUCCUUACACAUACCCACACAUAUCUACACCG